AUACUAUGGUUUCUCUUCAGAGCAUAUAAAUCUUUCAUCUUUUACUAAAGAUUUCUGUGAACAGCAUCAAUUCCCAAUCUUAACCCAAUGUUCUGAGGUCUUGAAAUAGACCUA